UACGUAGGGGGCGAGCAUUGUCCGGAGUUACUGGGCGUAAAGGGCGUGCAGGCGGUGCGGUAAGUUUAGCGUGACAGUCUCCGGCUUAACUGGAGAAGGCCGCUGAAAACUGCUGGACUUGAGGGCCAGAGAGGGACAUAGAAUUCCGGGUGGAGUGGUGAAAUGCGUAGAUAUCCGGAGGAAUACCAAAGGCGAAGGCAGUGUCCUGGCUGGCAACUGACGCUGAGGCGCGAAAGCUAGGGGAGCGAACAGG
rnacentral:rRNA from 1 species